rnacentral:rRNA from 1 species
UACGGAGGGUGCAAGCGUUAUCCGGAUUUAUUGGGUUUAAAGGGUCCGUAGGCGGAUCUGUAAGUCAGUGGUGAAAUCUCACAGCUUAACUGUGAAACUGCCAUUGAUACUGCAGGUCUUGAGUGUUAUUGAAGUAGCUGGAAUAAGUAGUGUAGCGGUGAAAUGCAUAGAUAUUACUUAGAACACCAAUUGCGAAGGCAGGUUACUAAGCAACAACUGACGCUGAUGGACGAAAGCGUGGGGAGCGAAC